rnacentral:rRNA from 1 species
UACGUAGGGUGCAAGCGUUGUCCGGAAUUACUGGGCGUAAAGCGUGCGCAGGCGGUUUUGUAAGCCAGAUGUGAAAUCCCCGGGCUCAACCUGGGAAUGGCAUUUGGGACUGCAAGGCUGGAGUGCGGCAGAGGAGACUGGAAUUCCUGGUGUAGCAGUGAAAUGCGUAGAUAUCAGGAGGAAUACCGAUGGCGAAGGCAGGUCUCUGGGCUGACACUGACGCUCAUGCACGAAAGCGUGGGGAGCAAACAGG